CAACACUCCCAAUAUGAAGGAUUUCUCAUUGCCUCUCCCUUAUAAAUUACUCCAAAUACAAACAAAACCCUCAUUAUCGCAAUUCCCCAAAUAAUAGUUUCGGCGAAAAAAUCUCUCAUAGCGUUUAGAAUCAAUCCAGAAGAAAAUUAUCUUAAAUUAGGGUUGUGGUUGAUUGUAAUAGCAAACAAGAAUCAAAAAUAUGGUAGCAAAAGCUGAUAUCGCCGUUUCGAUUGGUCUAGGGUUCUUCCACGUCUCCACGCCGUUGACAUCUAAGGGUUUUCUUGAUGCUCGCUUCUGAAUCUGUGUCCAUCAAAAUCGCUCGUUCUGAAUCGGUAUGUUUUUAGUUUUUUAUCCCUCUUUUAUGUGAUUAUGAAUUGGGUUUCGAGUAUGAUAUCUAUUAUCUAGAUUAAUACAUUUAAGACUUAGGAUUUUUGUAUCCGUUGUUAUUGACUUGGAUUUGGUGAUUAAUUUGAUCGAUUGAUAUGGAUUAUUGGCUUUUCACGUGUGUGUUAACAUCUGGGUAUUGGUUGGGGUGAAAUUGAUGUUGCCUUUGCAAAUUUAGAGUUUAUUGGCUUACCCUAUUUUUUUUGGAAUGGGUGUAGCUUGAUUAUCAAGAAUCUACUUUUCUUUUAUUUAUAUAAAUUAUUUUAACUGAUUGUUUUACCUUUUACUGAAACAUUUGAUUUUAGGAACCUUGCUUUCCUAUGUUCAAGAGUGUUAAAUGACGCAGAAGGUGCAAGCUUCACUUAAUAUCAUGCAUUUGGAUGAGUACAAUCUUUGAGCAAGAACAGAGUAAAUCAAGUAAUGUGUUCGUUUUAUGUUUACAUCAUAUUUUGAAUUUACGCUGUCUAGUGAUAGCCAAUUUGAUAGUUACAUGUUUAAAUUAUGUUAAGUUUUGUUUAUUAUUGCCUUUAAACUUGCAGAUUAUGAUGCAACUGAUACUCUUUGGAAGUUGGAAUGUUGUAUUUUUGUUUGUACACUUAGUUACUUUAAGUUACUCCGUUAUUUUACUGAAUUAUGUUUUUCUUUUGCAACAGUUUUGAGAUAUACUUGAACAACAAGCAAAUGUCUGGGUAAGUUGAUAUCACUUCUUAAAACUAAUAGCAAUUAUUUUUUUAUUAUUUAUACUUGUUGUCUUUAUUAUCAGACUUCUGUUUGUUGCUUGGUGAAACUAUUAUUCUGUCUUUAAUCUUUCCUAUAAUUUAUCAGUGAUUAAACGGAGUACAAUGGUUGAUUGGUAUUAAACUUAACAAUGGCUUUAAACUUAACAGGUUCUCUUAUUACUCUUGGUUUUGUGCAAAUAUCUAACCAAUUUUUUUUUUGAAAUUCAUAUGAACUUUAUUUCACUUUAUCAAGAUCCAUUUACUUCAUAAGUUUGUAUCAGUGAAUCUUUUGAGUUACUAUUGCACUGACCUAGAUUUGUACCUUUACUGUGUCUGAAUGAAAAAUUGGGCGGCCAUCUUACAGGUUUGAGAAUGAAAAAAUCGAGAUUUGGUAAUUUAAUUUUAAUAUUUAUUGAAUUGAAUAAAUAUUUUUCGAUGAAUUAAUUAUUAGAUUAAAUAAUUAAUUGAUGAAAUUGUGGUAGAUUAAUUUAAUUAUAUGUGUUAUAUUUAUUAAAUUAAUGUGGAGAAUUUUUUAUUAUUCGAAGUAUGUAAUUAUGUGAGCUUAUUGUAAUAAAAGAAAUAUUUAAUAAGCCUAAUAGUAUUUUAAUUAAUUUAAUAAUUAAUUAGAGAUUUAAUAAUUUGACAUUAUUAAUAAAUGAGAAAUUUAAUUAUGUGACUAUGUGGAUUUAUGAGAAAUUAUUAUAUGUUAUUUAAUUAAAUUAAAUAAGAUAUUGACUUUAUUUUAUAAAGUAGUGUGAUAUUAUUUAAACUAUUUUAUAAAGGUUUAAUUAAAUUAAUUGGAUAUAAGCCUUUAAGGCUAACCAAACGAGGCCUUAAGAGGAGUUGAGGGCAGUUAAACCACGUAUGGAGUAACUGACCUCAACUCUGCGCAUAAAGGGUCAGUUGCUUUGUUUUACGUAUUUUGCUAUUAAGUGUUCAAACUGAGAGUCAGAGAAUUUAGAGAGAGUUCAGAGAGAAUUCAGAGGAAUUGUGGGAGAAAACUCUGUGAUUGAAGUAGUAUCUGAAAAGGGAUUGUUAUCUUUACUCACUCUACGCUCUGGGUAAUUCUCUCCAACCCAAUUCUCAUUUUUUUUUCGUCAUUAAGCUUUCAUGAAAAUGGUUUCCAAUCUCUUUGUUAAAUCUCUGUAAAUGGGAAAUUGUGUUGUUAUAUGGAUAUAUGUAAUAAUAUGAUUAGCAUAACAUGUUUAAUUAUAUAUUAUAUAGGUUUCCAUAUCAUCAGUUUCAUAAUAUUAAUGUAUGUUAUGGCUUCAAAAGUAACAGAGUAUAGAAUAUGGCCAUGUGGCCCUUAUACGUGAUUUUAAUAUGUCAAACAUAAUUUUUUUUUGUAAAAUUUUCACUUGUAUAUAAUUAUGCAUGCUAAAAUGAAGAAAACAAAAUUUGAAUGGAUGGAUUUGGUGUUAUAACAAAUCUGUAGUGUUAAAAUUUUAUGUUUUUGUUCAAAACCUUCAAGAACACCAAGAACAAUGAAAUUCGCAUGUUUUAAUUUUGUAAUUAUGUGUUUUAAUUGGUUAAAAUCACUCUAUAAAUGUUGGGUAAUGAUUAUAUACGAAUUAUAACAUGUGGGUAUGUUUAAUCUGGUGAAUUCAAUGACCAUGUAAUGUUAAAUCCGCUUGUUUCUGUGUUCUUCGCGAACUAGAAAUUCAGAAAUUGGAGUUUCGCGCCGCGGUGCCAACUCCAGGCCUAAGACUCGCGCCGCAGUACCAAGACCUAGUAUAACAGUGGCGCCGCAGCGCCACUUAACAGAAUGGUCCAAAAAUGAGUUUUUAACAUGUUUAAAUUUAGCAAUGUGUUGGUAACUUAAUCUAAUUAACAUAAAAACUUGUUAGACAUAUAAUGAGGUGUUAAAAUAAAUUCUUAGCAUGUCAAUAACACAUGUACGUGAGAAUUGAAUGAUUGAAUGCAUAGUUAGCUUAUUGUUCAUGAAGUGUUAAUUGUGACAAUGAGUGUAAUAAUUUGACUAAGUAUAGUCAUGAAUUUGAGUUAGACAAAAAGAAUGAACUUGUGAUGACUAGUACGUUAUAAUUGACUGGUAUUGUGAACGUAAAUGAUAUGUAGGAUUUAAAUCAAGGAACGAGUUUAAUUAACGUGUAAUCUACGCACAAGGCAAGUUUCCUAACCUUACUCGUUAUCUUUAUAUGAGCUUAUAAGUUAUCUCUUUACAUCGAGCAAAUUCUCGUUAUUAUUGAUCAAGUCCAUUUUAUUAUAUUAAAAUGUAUUAAUCUUUCAAAGUAUGAUUCUGUUAUACAAUAAUUAUUCUAUUGUAUACCUUUUGAGAUUGCUAUUCAAUUUUAAAUUAUCAGUUACUGUUGAACUUUGUUAGACUAGUGAACCCUUAAUGAUUCGACUAGUCCAUAGUUGAUGAGCGUUCUAAAUUUCAGAACCCUUGAUGAAUUAUCCAAACCAAACUUCCUUUGGUGCGGACUCUAAUGUCAAACUGAGAUGAACAACCCUGUAUAGGGGAUUACUUAUGCGUUAGCGUUAAGAUAUUGUGCACAGUAUGGUACUAAGGGCUGAUCCCCCUAAGUACGAGAAGAAGAGUCCAUAGUCUUAUGACUGUUAAAGGUUUCAAGUAUAAACACUUGACAACCUAGGACAUAGUUCAAGGUCUUAUGACCCUCAGAAGUUCUUUUAUUUCUUGUUAUUCAUUCCUGAUUCAAAAGUUGAGUUUCCUAUUUCAGAAGUCUUUGAUUUAUUCAAAUAUUAUUAUUCAUUUGUUAUAUUAUUAUACUUGUGGGCAAUCGUGCUCACUCUUGCGUAAUAAUAACAUUGCAGUUAAGAACGAAAGAUCAGACGAGCCUUCCACUAGUAAAGGCAAGGGCAAGAUUAACAAGUAAUGAAGACUGGUUAUUUAUGUGUUUAUGUAAUGAUAUUCAGGAUUUAUAUUAUUUAAAGACUUAUUAUUUGUUUAUGAUUCCGCACAGAUGUUUAAGGUUAGAGCAACCUGGGAUUUUAUUAUUAUGCAGUUAAUGUAACCCCAUAAGGGGAGAUUUAUUUAUUAUUUCUAUCUAUUGCAUGGUUUGCAUUUAUUUAUGGGUAGAUAGAUAGAUGAUAUUUGUACAGUGAACACCAAAUCCUGUGGAAAUGGAAGUACCGGAUUUGGGGGUGUCACAGGUUGGUAUCAAAGCUGUAGGUUAUGAACCUUAGGUGGGGAAACAACCUUAGGUAGUAGCCUUGUAAGAGAUUGAGAACAUAGUAGUGGUAAACUCUUAUCGAGUUAUAAGAAAUGAAUUUCUAAAUUCAUUGAAGAUAAUAAAAGAUUUUAUGUGCUUAUGUGUUAAUCUAUGUGUUCGCUAGCACGGAUUAGUAACUAAAACUUAAAUUUUGUUGUCAGGAUGUCGGAUGUUAGAGGAGCUAGUCGAUCUGGGGAGGAGGAACCCGGAGUACCUACAGAGGAGGAGCCCCGAGACAUUCAUGUCAUCAGGGAACAGUUGGUACAGAGAAAGCCAUCUCCGUUGAUCACUGUUGUUGGUCGGGAGCAUGAGCCUGAGACCGAUCUAGAGGAGGAUUCUGAUGAAGAAGAGGAGGAAGAGGAGUUCCCACAGAACUCCAUUGAUGCUGAGAUGUAUGAUGCACUUUAUGAUCGUAACAUAGAGUUGCAAGACACUGUUCAGGAGCUGGGGAAAGGACUGUUAUGCAGCAGAGUACCAUCGAGCAGAAGGAUGGGGAAAUUGUGACUCUUCACACACGUUUGGGAAACAUGGAGUGAGAUUUGGUUCACGAGAAGGGUCAAAUUGAGGAGAAGAACGAAGAAAUAGAGAAGUUGAAGAAAGAUCUGAAAGAGAGCUCAGAAAGACUGGCAUUAGCAGAGGAGGGCUGGGUAAGAGAGUCACGUCGUGCUGAUCUUGCUGAAGAGGAUUGUCGUGUAAAGAAGGCUAAGCUUGGGGAGACGUACUCUACACUUCACAAUGCAAUGGAUGCAAAGAUGAAUUGUUAAUGAAUAUCUUUGGCUCGUAGUGCAAAGAUGAAUUUAUUAGUAUGAUUAUGAAUAAGAAUUAUGAUUUGGUAUAACCAUGAUUUUGAUGUUUCAGGUAAAGACAGAUGAUGAAAAUUAUCUUCGUCCUGGGUGCGAAGAGGAAUUUAGAAUAACAAUUAUGAUUAUAAGUUAUUCACAUGAUUGUGGAUAGGAAUUGUUGAUUGAUGUUACAGGGAUAAAACAUUAUUGAUGGACUUUUAACAUGGAGAAGAUAAUAGACCCUAUGGUCUAUUUGACUCUUCUAAUGGAUUGUUCGUUCCGCUGCAACUAUGGUUGAAAAGUUUUAUCAUGUAUCAUAUGUUCUAAAUCUCUGAUUUAUUAUUGACGAAAGCUAUUGAUAAUUUAAUUAUCUUUAGUCAUGAUAUUCUUUACUGGGCUAGUUGUGCUCACCCUUUUGCUUCACAAUUCCUUUCAGGUAAUAAGAGUGUUGCCGAGUCGAGCGGGGAUAACAGGGGAAUAGAACGGUGGUCUAUAGCUGUUGAAGUUCUCCCUAAAUAGGAUGGAAAUAAUUUUAUUAAGAACUUUAGAUAAGGGUGUCAUAUUGUAUACGUCAUUUGAUAUUUAAUUUUGGUGAACCGAAUAGGGUGAGGUGAACCCAACUUUGGAAGGGCGUUUUUUCCACUAUCAUACAAGAUGUCUAAUGAUAGACGACUUCGUGUUAUCAUAAGACAAGGUUGUGCACAUCCACUUGCUGAGUAUAUCUACGAGCACUACCUAUAUAAUCUUGGAGUUUAUUUGAAAUAUAAUUCUCACUUGGAGACAACGGAGAUAAUUAUAUGUCAAGAGAAGACUUACCAUUGGAAAGAAGAUUAUAGCAAUCUUUUUGUUUUUCUUUGAGGACUAUUGGUCAACCAAGGAUAAUUCUAUGGACAUAUGAUAUCUAUCAUAACCUAGACGCAUGGCCUCCCAUGUACGGAGGUUUACUUGAGCACUUCCCAAAUAUUUUAAUUUCUAAAACAGUUUUUGACUGUACUUUUAUGUAAAGUACAAUUGUAAGGUUGUGAUUGAGGCACCAUGAGAGUUACAUACAUUUGUAUUAAAACUCACAGUUUAACUGUGGUCGUAUUCUGCACGACAGUUCAAUAGUUGUAUAAAUGAAGUUUGUAUUUGAUUUUUAUAGUAUGAUAUCUGGCGACUCAGAAUGGGUCGUGUGGACCUAUUUUGGGGGCGUCACAAAUGGUAUCAGAGCUUAGGGAUAUGGUCGUUGGCGGAGAUAAGAGUCUAGAACUAGGAGGGGAGAGACGAGUUAUAUACUUCGCUAGUGUGUGACUUACCUAAGCUGAAAUUGUUUACUUGAUAAGUUGACAAAUUGUGAUAUGUCAAUUAACCUUUGUUUUGAAGAUAUAUUCUAGAAUGAUAUCUGAAAUAUAGGAGAUGAGCAAUGGGAAAAUCAUGAUACAGAGGAUAUAACCGGGAAGGUACAAUCCAAAAAGAAAGCAAGGUAUUCUCAUCUCUUCGAAUACCAGGUACGUACAUAAAUUUCAAGGGCGAAAUUUCAUAAGGAGGGGAGAUUGUAAGACCCCGAUUUUUAUGAAAUGAAAGUAUUCAAUUUUCUUAUAAUUAUUAUGUUUAGUAAAUGGUUAAACUUAGAAAAGGUUAAAGUUAAGGGUGAUAUGUGAAAUUUUUUCAAAGUAAGCAAGUUGUCAUAAAAUAAUCGGUGGUAAAAAUAUAGUAAUACGCGUGGUUGCAUAGUAGCACACAGUAUUGAUUAUUGAUGCUUACGUGAAAAGUCACUCAGUUUUAUUCAAUUAUUGUCAUAAUAUUUUAUAUUAUUAAAUCAAUAAUUGAGACAGCAAAGUUAUUCAUAUUAUUAUUUGCAAUAUUGACAAUGUCUAGAAGUUCUGUCAAAGAGAGGUUUGGUCAUCUAAUUGUGCGCCAAUAAGGAGAAAUCUUUAUCGGAAAGCCCCCUCUUUCCUAGGAACGACCUGGUUGUUAAAUAUUGCGAAUUAUAAUAAUAAUGAAUAAAUGUUAUUAAAAAUCGAAUUUGAGUUCGGAGUUGAAUUUAGAGACGCGGACGUGAUAUUUGAGUCCAGAACGAUGGAAUUAGUAAAAAUAAACGGUAAACACAAAAUUUUUCGGGGUUAACUUUUUGGUCAAAAAGUCAACUGUUGAUUUUUUUAGAAAAAGUCAAACUUCAAAUUUUCAAAAAUAAAAUUUUUGAUAAAAAUAGUUCCAUUGUGUUGGAAUUAUUAAUAUUAGUGGAAAUCGACAUUUAUUUCGAUAUUAAUUGAUGUCUGGAGGUUAUAUUGACCAAUCGGGUAAUUCACUGGAUAAAUGAGCAAUUAAUUGUUAUUAAUUCACAUGAUUAUAACUAUUUGUUCACAUGUAUGUACUAUUGAUUCACAUUCUUGUACUAUUAGGGGAGUUGGUGCAAGAUUGAUAAUACUUGUAUGACUUAGUUAAAAAUGAAGGAAUAAAUGGAGGUACUAUAUUGUAAUUCGUAUUUUCACAUGAUUAUAACUAUUUAUUCACAUGAUUGAACUAUUGAUUCACAUUAUUUACUAUUAGGGGAAGUGGUGCAAGUUUGAUAAUACUUGCAGGACUAAAUUAAAAAUGAAAGAAAAGUUGAAGGUAUUGUACUGUAAUAUUUUGAGCCCCAAAACGUGCAAUUAUCGAAACUAUAUUUUCCUAUAAAUAGAAGCUCAUUCUUCCUUCAUUUCUCACCAAUUCACUAAAGCUAUAGAGCAAUUAUUAUAGAGAGAAAUUAUAGAGAGAAAGAAGAAAAGAAGUUUUCUACCUCACUAUUCCAGUAUCCAGUCUUCUUUUGAGGUAAGAGAUAUUAUUAUUAUAGUAAGGGGUAUUAUUUCUUUCAUAUUCAUGAAGAGAGCUAUUGUUAUUCCAUUCCUUAUUAUUCUGUUGGAAUAACCUGUAUACGCGGACUAUCGUAUAUAAGGUGAAAUUCUUAUGUUAUUUCAUUCUUUAUUAUUAUGUUGGAAUAUCAUGUCUGUGCGGAUUACGCAUAACCUGGUUCCAUUCUUUAUUAUUCUGUUGGAAUAACCUGUCUUUGCGGUCUAUUGCAUGCCUGGUGAAUUCUGUUGUUAUUUCAUUCUUUAUUACUCUAUUGGAAUAUCCUGUCUGUGCGGAUUACGCAUGACCUGCUUCCAUUCUUUAUUAUUCUGUUGGAAUAUCCUGUCUGUGCGGAUUACGCAUGACCUGGUUCCAUUCUUUAUUAUUCUGUUGGGAAUAAUCUGUCUGUGCGGUCUAUCGCAUGCAUGAUGAAUUCUUCUGUUAUUCCAUUCUUAAUUAUUCUGUUGGAAUAACCUGUCUAUGUGAAUUACCGCAUGCAUGGUGAAUGAUCCUUUGUAUUCAUUCCUUAUUAAAUUGUGGAAAUUAUCUGUCUACGUGGAUUACCGCAUGGCGGGUGAAAAUCCAUUUGCAGUUUUGUAAGUAUUCUGACCCUCAAAAAUUUUGAAAAAAUUUGAAAUGAUAAUUUGAUGAGUUUUCUAGACUGUGUCCAAAAAUGGAGAUUUUUGGUUGUAUAGAUUAGGAGUUAUGAAUUUUAUGGAAAAGACUAUUUUAAAAGUAAACCCUUAUAACUCCUUAUGGUUAACUCCAAAAUUGGUGAAAUUUUUAUUGGGAGUACAUGUAUAUAACAGAAUUAUACCUUGUAAAAUUUCGGAAUUUUUGGACAAAAGUAUAAUUUAUGAUAAAUGUCUAAAUAUUCGGCAGUUUUGGCCAUAUGAAAAAUAGUAAAUAAAUUUUAAAAAUUUCGAGAACAAUAUAUGUUCAAUAUGGGACUAUAUUCUGAUAAAUCCCAGAAAAGAAAUAUUUUUGGGACUGAUUUGGUAUUUUUCAUGAAAAUGAACUAGUUAUGAGUAAAUGAAUUAAAUAUGUUAUGUGAAGUAACAAAAUUGAAAAAUAGGAUUUUAUGGCUUGGGAAUCCUAUAUAGGGUAUAUGCAGAUUUUUGAUGAGGGAUUUGAUCAUUGGUGAUGAAAUCUUAUGAGUAUGGCAUUUUUGAAUGAUUAAAUGCAUUAUUUGGUAAAGUGUAAACAAUUGAAAUAAAUUGUUUAUAAGUUUAAGAAGUGAUUAAAAUAUUGUUAUAAUAUUAAUAAUAUUAGAUUAUGAGUUUAUUAAGUGAUUGAUAAUAUUUGGAUAAAUUUAAAGUCUUUAAUAUUUAUCCUUAUUUUCGUUUGAUUAAUGUUUAUAUCAUUGUCAUAAUCCUCAUGCUUAUAUUGUGAUGAAAGUCAUCUUUGGCUUACGUGGGCUUACGUGCAAAGAUGGACUGUUGAUUAUUGGUUUUAUAGUUGUAUAUCUUUGGCUUAUGUGCAAAGAUGGACCGUUGAUUAUUUGUUUUAUAGUUGUAUAUCUUUGGCUUACAUGCAAAGAUGGACUGAUGAUUAUUGAUUUUAUAGUUGUAUAUCUUUGGCUUACGUGCAUUGAUGGACAGUUGUUGGUAUGAUUAUAAUCAGGGAUUAUUCGGUAUAAUCAUGACCAUUCUUGAAAACACGAAUAUCCUUGGCCCGUAGUGCAUGGAUAAUUCGUGGUCGUAAUACUAAUGAAUAUCAUUGGCCGUAGAGCAGGGAUGAUUCGAUGCUAUGGAUUAAUUAUUAAGCUGAGUUUCAGCGAUAACAUAUUGAUAAUAAACUUUUAAUUCAUAGAAGAUAGUAGAUAUCAUGCUCUACUUGACACUUUUAUAAUACAGUUGUAUGUCUUUGGCCUGUAGAGCAAAGAUGAAUUGUUAAUGAAUAUCUUUGGCUCGUAGUGCAAAGAUGAAUUUAUUAGUAUGAUUAUGAACAAGAAUUAUGAUUUGGUAUAACCAUGAUUUUGAUGUUUCAGGUAAAGACAGGUGAUGAAAAUUAUCUUCGUCCUGGGUGCGAAGAGGAAUUUAGAAUCCCAAUUAUGAUAAUGAGUUAUUCACAUGAUUGUGGACAGGAAUUGUUGAUUGAUGUUACAGGGAUAAAACAUUGUUGGUGGACUUUUAACAUGGAGAAUAUAAUAGACCCUAUGGUCUAUUUGACUCUUCUAAUGGAUUGCUCGUUCCGCUGCAACUAUGGUUAAAAAGUUUUAUCAUGUACCAUAUGUUCUAAAUCUCUGAUUUAUUAUUGAUGAAGGCUAUUGAUAAUUUAAUUAUCUUUAGUCGUGAUAUUCUUUACUGGGCUAGUUGUGCUCACCCUUUUGCUUCACAAUUCCUUUUAGGUAAUAAGAGUGUUGCCGAGUCGAGCGAUGAUAACAGGGGAAUAGAACGGUGGUCUAUAGCUGUUGAGGUUCUCCCUAAAUAGUAUGGAAAUAAUUUUAUUGAGAACUUUAGAUAAGGGUGUCGUAUUGUAUACAUCAUUUGAUAUUUAAUUUUGGUGAAUCGAAUAGGGUGAGGUGAACCCAACUUUGGAAGGGCGUUUUUGCCACUAUCAUACAAGAUGUCUAAUGACAGACGACUUCGUGUUAUCAUAAGACAAGAUUGUGCACAUCCACUUGCUGAGUAUAUCUACGAGCACUACCUAUAUAAUCUUAGAGUUUAUUUGAAAUAUAAUUCUCACUUGGAGACAACGGAGAUAAUUAUAUGUCAAGAGAAGACUCACCAUUGGAAAGAAGAUUAUAGAAAUCUUCUUGUUUUUCUUUGGGGACUAUUGGGUCAACCAAGGAUAAUUCUGUGGACAUAUGAUAUCUAUCAUAACCUAGACGCAUGGCCUCCCAUGUACGAAGGUUUCCUUGAGCACUUCCCAAAGAUUUUAAUUUCUAAAACAGUUUUUGACUAUACUUUUAUGUAAAGUACCAUUGUAAGUUUAUGGUCGAGGCACUAUGAGAGUUAUAUACAUUUGUAUUAAAACUCACAGUUUAACUGUGGUCGUAUUCUGCACGACAGUUCAAUAGUUGUAUAAUGAAGUUUGUAUUUGAUUUUUAUAGUAUGAUAUCUUGCGACUCAGAAUGGGUCGUGUGGACCUAUUUUGGGGGCGUCACAUUCGUGGUCAAACCACGUUGACCGGCAUUGACCGGGAGAUUUUUGGGUAACCCAGAUUUCCCCAGGUCGGUCUGACAGCGAGUUCAUGGGCUUUAAUCUAUUAGUUGUUUAUUGCUUUGUUUAUGUUGUUGUAACAAGAUUGUUGUAUGGUAUAUGGACUAUAGAUUAAGGCUUAUAGAUCACCUAAAUAACAUACGAAUUUGAUUUAAUUGAUGAUCAAACUAGCCUGGACGAUCAUGAUUGAAGUUUUCUAAGUAACCUAGAAAACUUAAGAACACGGUUCUGACAUGGAUUUGACCAGACCUUAUCUGCUUGAUUUGUUGUUAUGAUGAUGUUAUGUAAUAGAUCUGUACACCUACAUGUUGUCUACAAUCUAGGACUUUUAAAUCACUAAACCAUUACAUGAACCACAAGUUGUGGAAGCCCAAAUAUGAACAGUCGAACUGUUGUUCAUUUUUGGGCAAACCCAGAAAUGAAGAACAGCUCUGACAGCCACUUUAGAUGCCCAGAUCUCCUUUGUUAUGUAUUGUGUGAUCAUGAUUGUUGUUAUAACAUGUAGUAUUACAUUAGUUCUACAAACAAUGAUCAAUAGAUAGCCCAGAAAACAUCAUGAUCUGAUCAGCAAUCUUGGUCAAAGUAGGCCACUUGAAAACUGACAUGAAUGUUCUAGGUUUUGCCAAGAACAUGAAGAACACCUAUAGCGACGGUUCUGUCGCUUUAGGCAGCGACACUUUAUUUCUAAAAUUAAUUAUUUUAUUUAAUAAUUAGAGAAAAUUAGUUUUUAAUUAUUUAAAAUACAAAUUUAAUUACUAAAAAUUAUUUUAAAGUCUGAAAAUUAGUUUUUAAUAAUUUUUAAUAUAUUUUAUAAAUAUUUAAUAUUUUUGAAAUAUUAAAGGUAUUUAAUUUAUUUAAUUAUUAUAUUAAAUAAAUUAUUUAAAAAUGAUUUUAAUACUUGAAAAAUUAUUUAAAAUUAUAUUAUGAUAUAAGAAAAUAUUUUAAGUUAUUUUUAAUGACUUUUAAUAUUUUGUGAUAAAUUUUAUUAAUAAAUUAAUAUUAAUGAUAAUUAAGUUAUUUAAUAAACGCAUUAAAUAAAUUAAUUAAAAAUGAUUUUAUUAUAUUAAAAGUCAUUUUAAAUAAUAAUAAGGUAUAUAAAAAUAUUUGAAGUUAUAAAAUAUAACUUUCAAUAUUUAAAGGUAAAUUUCAUUAAUAAUGAUAUUACAAUUAUUUAAUAAUUAUAUUAAAUAACUUCGUUUAAAAAUAAUUUUAAUAUUAUAAAAAUUAUUUCAAAUGAAAUUAAGGUGUUUAAAAAUAUUUGAAGUUAUAAAAUAUAACUUUUAAUAUUUAAAGGAUAAUUUCAUUAAUAAUGACAUUAAUUUAAUAUUAAUGAUAUUAAAUUUAUUUAAUAAUUAUAUUAAAUAAAUAGUUUUAAAAUAAUUUUAUUGAUUUAAAAAUCAUUUAAAAAGGAUAUAAUUGAAUUAAAAAUAUUUUAAGUUAUAAUUAAUGACUUUUAAUAUUUUGAUAAAUAGUACAUUAAUAUUUAAAUAUUAAUGAUAAUUAUUGAAAAAUGAUUUUAAAUGUUUUAAAAAUCAUUUAAGGGUAAUAGCAGUACUUUAAAAAUAUGUUAAGUUAUUAUAAAUAACUUUGAUAUUUUGGCAAUGGUUUCAUUAAUAGUUUAAUAUUAAUUAAAUAUUAAUGAUAAUAAAAUUAUUUAAUAUUUAAAUCAUUUAAUAAUUAUUUCGGUGGUUGAAAAAUCAUGAUAAUUAAUUAAAAAUUAUUAUAAGUCAUUUAAAAAUAAUAUGAUUGAUAUUUAUAGUUAUUGAAUUACAGGAUGGAGUCUUAGACUCGAUAAUUACCCGAUAAAGCCGUCGGUACACCGACAUGUUUCAAAAAUUGAUCUGGACUUAGAUAAUUUGAUUAGAUGCGUGUUUGUUUAUGAUCCAAUGAUUGUUAAACAUGUGUGAUAAUGUGAUUAGGUUAUGUGCUGACUGCAAUAAGCAGUAUUAUGUGUUACAAUAUGUUAUUCUAAUCAGUAAAAUGAUCUUAUUACUGAUAAGUUGCUAUAUAAAAGAUAAAACUAAGUUGCAUAACUGUAAGCAGCAGACCAGGCAAGUAUCCUACCUUUGCAUUUACUUUAUACAAUUGACAUAAAUAAGAAAGUUUUAGAAUUAUAUUAUUAUUAUGCCAGAUUAUUAACCCUAUUGUUAUAUAUAUUAUAUCCGAUCAUUGUUUAUCAGCAUAGUAUUAUAUUAUAAUUCAAAUAUUUUUUCUGUUUGUUAAUUUCUAUAUAUGGUUCUACAAGUGUCCUCACUUGGAUAAUCAUUGUAUUUAAUCACAUGUUGAUACACAUUUAUAAAUUUUCAGUAUGUAUAUGUUAACUUAAAAGCCGUCUAAGCUAAUUGAUUUGGCUAGACACAAACUUAUAGAUUAUUGUUGCACAAGAUAAAAUCUUACUAUUAUCCAACCGAAUUAUUUUGAUUCGGAUUUCCGACUAAGUAUAAACAUCACGUAUAUGGGAAAAUUUUUGUGCGCCAAAGACGGUUAAGAUGAACGAUAAUAUCGUUCUUUCAUGUAGUAUUAAUCAAUACAGGGCAUAAAGGGCUGAUCACCCCCCGUGCCCGUAAGUUAUGACGGUUUGUAGAUGAAGUUCUGUUUAACCUUUUCGAAAAUAAAAAACAAUGUUCAUAGUCUGUCGACUAAUCCCCAGAUAUAGUCAGUACGUAGUUUCAAAAAUUUGAUAUAGAAUUAAUAUAUUAUUAUUGGUUCAGUUUACUUCACAACUAUUGAUUCGUUGUAAAAGUGUCGUACAAAGAAAAUAUUUAAUCCUUUCAGCUAAUAUUUAUAAUUGCUAUUACUUGCUGGGCACUCAAAUACUCAUCCUUGCUUAAUUUAAAAUAUUUUCAGCUAAGUGUGAACAACUAGAAGGCUCGGCUAAGAACAAAAGGAAAGGGAAGGUUGCAGAAUAAGUUGGUGCUAUUUUAUGUAAUAGUGUAACUUUAUUAAGACUAUGAUAUUAUUAUUAUCAUGUAUUAUAAUAAAUGUAUUAAAGGUUACGUACUUGGGUUUAAACUCUGAUAAAUAUGUAAUUUAAGUUUGAUAUCUAUAUUAUUGUUAUUAUUAUUAGUAUUAUUCUACUCAUAGAAAUGGUAUCGUGAAGCACCGAGUUCGGGUUUCAAGUACCUGAAUUUGGGGGCGUCACAGGUAACCCAAAAAAAAGUGAACAUCCUCUAACGAGAUUGUUAAUUCUCCACAGUUUAAAUAAAAAGUAUUAGUCUCCGGCAGCCAUCUCUCGAUAAGGGCAGAUAUAAGUCCAAGGUCAUUUUGGUGUACAACACCUCGAAAACUAAAAACUCCAAACCCACAUUUAUCUAAAAGGAUUUUUUGUUCUUUUAUCAAAUUCCACUGUUUAUAUUUUUGUUCAGUAUAUUGACUCGAGCCUAGUUUUCCCCUAUCUUUCCCAUGAUAUAUGUCUUCUGAUACAUGAUCUUAUUGAUCAUGGAGAACACUUGGAUCAAUUGGCUUAUAUUCCAAGCUGUCCAUCUUUUACCUAAAUACACAACAAUAAUCCAUUAUUAGUAUUAAGAUUUAGAUAAUAAUUUGACUGAUAAUAAUAUUAAUAAUAUUUAUAUAUGAAAUACUAACAAAAAUAGUUUUUCAAACAUACAUGACAAAAACAGUUUAAACAUGCAUGACAAAAUAAUAAGCUGUAACAUGCAUGACAAAAACAAAAAUAAUAAUGAUUAUUUAUAUAAUAAUUUAAUAGUAUAAUAUGCAUGAUAAAAUAAUAAAUAAUAACAUGCAUGAUAAAAACAGCAAUAAUAAUGAUUAUUUAUAUAAUAAUUUAAUAGUAUAACAUGCAUGACAAAAUAAUAAAUAAUAACAUGCAUGACAAAAACAACAAUAAUAAUUACUAUUUAUAUAAUAAUUUAAUAGUAUAACAUGCAUGACAAAAUAAUAAAUAAUAACAUGCAUGACAAAAACAGUUUAAACAUGCAUGACAAAAACAACAAUAAUAAUAAUUAUUUACAUAAUAAUUUAAUAGUAUAACAUGCAUGAAAAAUAAUAAAUAAUAACAUGCAUGACAAAAACAACAAUAAUAAUUACUAUUUAUAUAAUAAUUUAAUAGUAUAACAUGCAUGACAAAAUAAUAUCAAUAACAUGCAUGACAAAAAUAGGAUUAACAUGCAUGACAAAAACUAUUAUUGCAUGUAAUGAGCAAAACAGUAGGUAUCUAGUGUUUGAGUGUAAUGAGUUAUUAUCAUUUAUGUGACGCCCCCAAAUCCGGGUCCCUUCGAACCUCGGACCCGGUCCGCCACGAUACUACUAUUGUCAAACUAUUUAUAUUUUGUAUUCAUAACUUAAUGAAUAUAACUUUACUUAUUACAAUUUAGAAUAUAAAUUCUUUCCAUUUCCAGGAUCUAUGUAAUGACCCCAAACUUUUAUAAGUUUCAAAUCUUGGUCAUUUAUCAUUCUUGUCUUACAUCAUAUUUGAUGUUAUAAAAAUAUGCGGAAUAAUUUAAACUUUUUCAAUCUCCUUUGAAAAUAAAUCUUUUAUUGAUAUCUUAACUUGAAUCAAUUACAAAUCCUUGAAUCAAAUUAUGUUAUGAUUCAUUCUAUUCAAAAUUACUGUAUAAAUCUUUACACCUCGAUUCGAACUCCUCUAUGUAUCUCAUAGUACAACUUAACAUGUAUUACACAUCAUAAACUACUAUCAUGUACAUUUUCUAGAACCUAAACAUGGUUCAAGAGUAUAUAUUUAAACAAAUGAAUUAAUCUCCUUUAAUAUUAUUGAUCUUUAUCAAUCAAGUAGCACGUAAUCUUUACCGUGUGUUCUUAACCUGCAAAAGUGGUUAUUUGCAAGGGUGAGCUCGUCAGCCCAGCAAUUCUAACAGUUUUCAUGCAGCACAUAACAUAUAAUAGCAUAUUCAGUUCAUGCAUUCAUAAUCAAUUAAUAUUUAAUACGCAUGUUACUUCUCACAUAAUAGGCAUAGAUAUUUACUUCACAAGCAUAUCAUCAAAGAUCAACUUUUAACUUUUAUACAUAUCUCAUAUGCAUUUCAUAUAUAUACAUCAACAUUCGCAUAACAUAAUAUAGCUCAACUAACAGUUAUAGAAUUCAUAUAUCAAAUAGGAACUGAAAGACUUGCCUGAUUUGUAGUUUAUUAACUAUGACUUAACUUCUUAACGCUUAUCUGUACUUCGUGUAUUCCUACAUAGUUAUAUAGUCAUGGAUUCAUACUGAUUAGUCAUAUAUUCAUACAUUCUCAAUGUAAUAAUAAUGUUACAUUAUUUCCUAACUAGGUUCGUAAAACCUACACUUCACUUUCUCAUCAUAUUCUUAGAAUAGCUAGGUAUGUAUAGGUAUACCUUAACCACUCAUACUUGAUCACAACAUUCAUAAAUCUAUCACACACUUGACUCACUAUGUGUUCGACACAUUUAAAACUCAUAUACGUACAGAUAAACGUCUAACUUAGUUAUAACUUCAUACCACAUCACCUAUCCUAUAUUUUCAUAACACAAAUCAGAUGGUAAGACAUCACAAAUUCAAACAACGUAUCAUUGUUUUAUAUCUUGAAAACAUUCUUUUGGAUUUAACAUUUGAAAGUCAUAAUUAACAUUCAUCGCUAUCACAUAGCAUGCUUCCUACACAUCACAUAGUAUAUUGGUCACAUAUUAUAAGUUAAAGAAAUCAAAUAAGCAUGCCUCGAACUUCAAAUCAAAAAUAGAACUAUUCAUGACUAUAGGAUGGCGCAGCUGUGCCCUGUCUAGGCUUAGGGAUGACGUAGCUGCGCUGUCCCCUGGCUAGACCAAGGUUGAGCUUUGCACUCCUGGUUUCAGUCUAGACUUUAACACACUAAGACUCUUACACUUCACAUGCAUACAUGCUAGAGGUCUUUAUAUAAGUAUAUGACCACUCUUAAGUUCAUUGUUACAAGUUUUAGUUCACGACUUUCUAUGAAAUUAAAACAUAAAGGUCAUGUAUUCAUCAUGCUUUAUAACUUUGGCCAUAUUUCUACAUAUAGAGGUCUCACAAUCUGUUCAUACAUAUGAUCAUGGUGUUCAUAUUAUUUAUUCAUAACUAGCAUUGUUUAACACUUUGAAACAUGCUUAAAACUCAUGCUUGAUUAAAUUAUCUUUGUACCCAAAACAUGACAUCUUAAAUCUUUAAAAUCUAACUACUCAAACUUAAUGCAACUUGAUUUGAAAACAUUUUCAAGUUCGCCUUUGAAAUCAUUUUAAACUUGAACAAUGCAAUUCAACACAUACAAGACAAAUUUAAAGCUCUUAUCAUAUAUAGUUAAGGCAUGUUAAUAUCUUCACAAGAUCAGAAUGUACAUCAUGUAGUAUUCAUGCAUACUUUCUUUGAUAUAUAUCAUGCUUUUCUUUUAAAACAUUUUCUAACACAAAGCUAAUAAGUUUGAUCAUGACAAGACACUAUAAACUUCAUAUUAUGCUCAUUCACAUCUGAAAUCAAUCAUGUGUAUAACAUACUAAGCUCAGAACUUGUAGAACAUGAGUUUCAACAAAGUUCAUUUUCAAAACAUAAAGUUUUUGUUAUAAAUCUUUCACUAAUCAUGUUGAUCACUUCACAACACAUAAUAAAGCUUUAUAAAACAUGUUAUACCUCAUUUAUAUGUAUAUAAAAGUCAUAGAACCAAGUUUGCAACAAAUUAGCCCAACAAAAAUUAGUAACUGAAUCUGAGUUACGGCGCAGCUGCGCUGCACCCUAGUAUAAAUAGGGCGUAGCCGUGCCAUGCCUGGAACAGAAGCAGUGACCUGCUCUAUUUUGUAGAGCCUUACCCAACUUUGAUUCUUUUCGAUUUAAACAUGUUCCAAUCCAUCAUUUAAGAGUUCAUAUAUGUAAGCAUACCUCCUAAUCACAUCAUAGCAUGUUAAUUCAUAUCAAUUGACAUAGGAUUCUAAAGAAUUUCAAGAAUUUAGCAAAAACCCAACUAAGAACAAAAGUUAAGAUUUUAUACCUCCUGAAGCUUAAUAAUCUUAAUUUCUUCCUUCUGAGAUAUCUAGCCUCUCCUUUGAACAACAACUCACUUAAUCUCAAUUAUCAGAGUUUUAAUGGACAAAAGCAAAUAACAAAAACACUGAGAAAUAAAACUCCUAUUUAUAGAGAAAUGGUGAACUGGCUAAAAGAUUUACACAAAAGAUUGCAUCCAUGGUGUAGAAGAAAAACCCACUGGUUAAUGAAGAGUGGUUCAACUACCAUUUCCUAGCCAUUGGCCUAACAAUCAUCACCUAAGCUUAGCCACUUGGAAGUUACGUAACUUAGCUUCUAGAUCACUGUUCAUGUACCUUUGUGCCACUCAAUUUGGGAUAAGAGAACAAUCUCAGCAACUUAUUAUUCUAAGGCUUGGUUUUGGUUCUUUAAUUCCCAUAAUGUAAUAUUAAGGUACAAUUAUUACCAUAUUAGAAAAAUUAGGGACUAUUUAUAUACUCACAUCAUAUAAUCCAUGUACAUUAGAUACAUGCAAUAAAAUAACACAGUUAGGUAUUAUUGUUUGGGUAGUUUUAUAAUUAACUCUACUACUCACAUAACCAUAUUAUAACCUUAUUUAUGUUUAUUUAAACAUUUAAUUCCUCUCUCAGUUUCUAGAAUACACAGAUAUUUAAUCAUUUAUGUAUUAAAAUUACAUAUGACAUCAUUGCACUACUUGGUACCUUAUAUCAUUAGUCCCAAUUAAAUGUCACACUUCAUGUAUUCUUAGGCCAUAGGUAUUAUAUAUUACUACCGCCCACAUUUUCCAUAUAGUAAUAUUAUUAAUAUUUUAAUUGGGCUAAAUAUCAAUCAGUUGGGUACUUUUAACCCAUUAUCACCUUUUAAUAUCACAAUAAUUAAUUAAUAUUAAUCAUUUAUUUUUUUUUAAUAAUUAUUAUUAUGCACUCCACUAAUUAAUAGAAUAUAGUAUUCCAUAAUAUCACUUAAUUAACCAAUAUUUAUUCCGGGUUAAUUAAUUAAAUCGUUAUUCAAGUCAUGUUUUGCUAACUAAAUUCCUUCAUGAUCACUUAGUCACCAUUUAUGACCAUUAUAUGAGUCUCUAGUCUUCAUUCCUUAAAACAUAAAUUCCACAGCCUUACUCAGAAUUUUCUACAGACCGGUGCAACUGCGCUGGUCAUAGGCUUGUAAAUGGCGCAGCUGCGCCAUACCAAAAUCAGAGGCAAACAAGUUCUGCCUUAGCAGAAAUAAAACCUACGCUUACACAUCCUCCUUAAGCGUUAAUUCGUCUAACAUUAAUCUCCUCUUUGAUUCCACAUCCUUGGUUACUAUUUUCCUUAACAAUUUAAGGAUCACACUUCAAGUUUUAAAACUCUAUUUCACUUAUUAGUUUAACCAACUAUACAUCUCCGUUACGGUUUCUUAUCACCAAUAACACAAAACUCGAAUAUAACACAUACAUACAUUCCUUAAUCCUCACUUCUCGCAGUGUAUCAAUUUACUCAAUAAUUCUCUAACCACCUUAAAGGUAUAUCGAUUUUCUUUUCUCGUCAACAACGUACACGCAUACAAGUCUAAACCUAGCACGCGUCGAGUCUUUAAUAGUAUUCAAUGUAGUACACUGAGUGGUUUCCCACAAACAACCAGCAAAUUAUUUUUUGUCUCGUCUACACUGCUUUCACAAUGAGUUAGAUCGGUUACUAAUUCGUAUAUACCUCCGCUCUCUGAAGAAAUUAUUUAGCCCAACUCCUAUACAUCCACCAUUAAAGGUACGGUUGCACUGCCUUAGACUUGAUACUCACUCGUACAUGUACUCAAGAAAUUGGUGAUUAUCAAAGAUAUUUUAAUGUCACCAACUUACUAUUAUAAAAUAAUUAUUUAAUAUAAAUAGAUAAAUUUUAUCCAUCUUCUUUACUAAUUUAUUUCUACAAUUUAUAAAAAAUAUAUAAUAAUGAUAUAUAUUUAUUAAACACAACAUCACUUAUUACAUAGCUCAUAUUACCCUAUGUAACAAAAUACCACAUACCUCGUAACAUAUUUAUAUAUUCUUGUUUGAACCCAUCUCAUGCUUUAAGAAUUUUAUUUACUAAAUUCUUAUUUUAAUGUUUUCUAAAAAUUCGUGUUCUUACAAUUUAUAUAAUUUAAUAGUGUUAUUUUAUUAUUAUAAGAAAAUAAUAAUAAAAUAAAAACUGUUAAAAACUGAACAAUAACAAUAAUAUAAUAACAAUACCAAUAACAAUAUCAAUAUCUUACCAAUAUUAUUAUUAUUUACAAUGCCAAUAAUAACAAUGUCAAUAAUAAAAACAAUAACAAUAAUAUUAAUAAUAAUAUUAAAUACCAAUAACAAUAUCUUACAAAUAAUUUUGUGUCUUCAAAAUGGGUGUAUGUAAUCCAGCCGGUUCAACUUGUGUCCCAGUUUGCUUCUCUCUCUUCCUCUCUCUAUGAUUUUUCUCUAGCUUUAUGUUACUGAACUUUAGAAAUACUCCUCUCUUACUAGAUGGUUAAAUAAGCUCAAGCACUAGCUGGUACAAGUUCUUUUUUUCGGACAAAAUUUAAAACCAAACUCAGCUUUUUAGUUUUCGAAUGUCAACUUUUCAGCUUUUUACUUUUUCCAUGUUGCAUGUGUUCUUUCCCGAGGUGAUGUGGCAGAAAAAUUAGUCAAAGAGCUAAAGCUAACUGUUCGGGAUUAUUAUUAUUAUUAUUAUUAUUAUUAUUAUUAUUAUUAUUAUUAUUAUUAUUAUAAUACUAAUAAUAAUAAUAUUAAUAAGUAAAGCCGUGACAGCUUAUUUCGGUCUGGCUUAUUAUUAUUAUUAUUAUUAUUAUUAUUAUUAUUAUUAUUAUAAUUUAUAAUAAUAAUAAUAAUAAUAAUAAUAAGUAAAGCCAUGACAGCUUGUUCCGGUCGGGCUUAUUAUAAUUAUAUUAUUAUUAUUAUUAUUAUUAUUAUUAUUAUUAUUAUUUUAUUAAAUUAAGAGUAAUAAUAAUAAUAAUAAAGAGUAAAAAAAUAAUUAAUAAUCCUGGCCGCUACAAGCUGUACCUUUUUACAAUAAAAAAUUAAAAAAAAUUCUGGAAGUGCUCGGCCACUACAAGUUGUACCGGCUUACAAUAAAAAAUUAUAAAAAAUCCUUUUUUGCUCCUUAUCAGAUUCGAACUCGCAACCUCCCACUUCAAACCCGCGUCAUAUGACCACCCGAACACCACGGGCCUAGCUGUUCCUUUCUCGCAAGGAUUAGUCUUUAUAUUAAAACUUUACAUUUCCCCUCAUCCAUAUAUUAUUAUUUUAUUAUUAUUAUUCUAUUAUUAUUAUUAUUAUUAUUAUUAUUUUAUUAUACAAACAAAACCGCUACAUAUUGUAGCGGCUCUUCAACUUUUUAUUAUUUUAUUAUUAUUAUUAUAUUUCUUUUAUUAUUUUAUUAUUAUAAAUAUUAUUAUUUUAUUAUACAAAACAAAACCGCUACAUAUUGUAGCGACUUAUAAUUUUAUUAUUAUUAUUAUUAUUAUUAUUAUUAUUAUUAUUAUUUUAUUAUACUAUCUGUUCAUUUGUUAUUAUUUUAUUAUUAUACUAAAUAUUUUAUUAUAUGUCCUUGAGAGAUAGAUAAUUUUUUGUGUAUACCAACGUGGUCAAACGUAAUAAUGAUAGACUAUCAUGUACACUAUGGGAAUGGGAAAAACUGACAUUGGGAAUGGGUAAAAUAAAUAAAUUUGAUGCAUUGAGCAUUAGCCGCUACAACAUGUAGCGACUGGUCUUUUUACCCUUUUAAUAUUCUUUUGCAAGCUGAUAUUUCCUCAAGUUAUCUUUCUAUCCUUCCUUUCCCACAUCUCCUCCAGUUUGGUUUAUGCUCUCGGAUAUUAAUUUCUCUUUUCACAUCUACACAGAAUUUGUACCAUCUGGUUGCCCAUGCACUUUCACUUCCCAAGUUCAAGUUGAAGUUCUGAUCGAGCAAAAUUCUUCACUAUUAUUCAAAAGUAAGUUUUUCAAAAAAAAGUAUUUUUAUCUACCUCUUAAGAUUGUGUUGCAAGUUUAAAUUGUGAAAAUACAUUUGAGUUUGUCAGUGAAGUUGAAAGUAGUAAAUCUAAAAUUGUUCCGUACGUUGGUCAAUUAUUUUGUAAGUUGGAAGAGGUUGAAAAUUUUUAUAGAUCAUAUGCUCGUAAAAAUGAAUUUGAGAUUAGAAUUGCAACUAGUCAUAAAUAUGCUAAUACGAAUGAUGUAUGAUCUAGGAUGUAUGUAUAUGUAAAAAAGCUGGUACACCAAUUGUUGGAAAGAGUUUACCUGAUGAUGAAGAUGGUAGUAAUAAAAUAACUAGACAGAGAGACUCUAUAGGAUGAACAUUGUGCAAAGCUAGAAUAUAUGUUGUCCACAAUAAGAAAGAAGAUAAUUGGCGUAUUUCUACUGUUGAAUUAGAGCACAAUCAUCACUUAGUGACCCCCACCAAAGUAGAUUUGAUAGAGACACACAGAAAUAUUACUCCUGUUGCAAGAAAAUUAAUUGACACUUUAAAUAAGUCCGAUAUUGGUCGUAGUAAGAUGAUGAAUGUUUUGAGCAUAAUGGGUGGUGGGUUGCAAAAUGUUCCUUUCUCUAAUGUAAAUGUUGAGAAUGUGGUGCGAGAUUUAAGGCGUGAUUCUGCAGAUGAAAAUGAUGCAUAAGCUGCUGUCAAUUAUUUGAAAAAACUUGAAUCUGGAAGUGCAAGUAAAUUUUUUUUCCCCGAGUGAAACCCGGUGAAAACAAUCGCAUAGCUUGUAUUUUGUGGGUUGACGCCCGAUCAAGGUUUAUGUAUCAACAGUUCAGAGAUGUUGUGACAUUUUGAUAGUACAUAACGGACAAAUAAGUAUGGCAUGCCGUUUGUUCCAUUUUUUGGGGUCAACCACCAUUAUCAGUCUAUAUUAUUUGGAUUUGCAUUAUUAAGAGACAAGAUAGAGGACAUUUUCGUUUGGGUAUUAUAGACAUGGCUUGAAGCCAUGGACUACAAGGCACCUACAACCAUCAUCACUGAUCAAGACAGAGCCAUGAGUAAUGCUAUUACUACGGUACUUCCUUCUAGUUAUCAUUUAUUGUGUUCUUGGUAUAUUAGCAAUAAAUUUCCUGAAAAAUUGCAUUAUGUUUAUUCUGAGCACCCAUCAUUCAAAAAUGAUUUUAACAACUGUGUGUAUAAUUCAUUGUCCAUCGAGGAAUUUGAAGAGCGUUGGCAUAUUCUGAUAAGUUCUUAUGAAUUGUAUACCAAUGAAUGGCUUGGAAGUUUGUAUGAUGUAUGACAGAAAUGGAUUCCAGCAUAUACAAAGAGAUAUUUUGCCGCGGGAAUGAUUACCACCGGAAGAAGCGAGAGCAUGAAUAGUUUUUUUGAUGAGUACGUUAAUGCAUCAACAGGUAUGCUAUGUUUUGUACUACAGAGUCAGAAGGCUAUAGAAAAAUAAUUUAUCAAAGAGAGGAAGGUCGACUACAUAACAAAAUAUCGUAAAAGGAUUAUGGUACUCGGUUCAUCUUUAGAAGUUCAUGCUGCAUAAGUGUACACAAAAGAGAUGUUUAUACGUUUCCAAAAUCAAUUCAUCGAUUCCAUGAAAUACAAGGUUCAUAAAUUUAGUGAGUUGUGUGUCACUGAUACUAAGGUUUAUGCAGUGUAUAAUGCAGAUGCAACUGAAAGUGGUGGAAGAUAUAAAGAAGUUGUCAACAAUCGCCAACUAGGAUCGGUAACAUGAAACUGCCAAAUGUUUUCUCACUCUGGUGAAUUAUGCAGGCACAUAUUGAGAUAUAUCAUAACAAAGAGUAUUUCACAAAUACCAAGCAACAUUAUUCUUCAUUGGUGGACAAGAGACGUGGACAAAAGUAAUGGUGAAGACUUACUCUUUAACACCAUAGUUGCUGACUUCGAACAAGAUCAAGCAAUGCGCUAUAAUCAUUUGAUGAGUGAUUACCAGGAGUUAGUGAGUGAAGCGGCUUGCUCAGUUCGAGGUUACAAAACUGUUCUUAAACUGAAUGCACGAGGAAAAGCGUUGGUUGACCAGUAUGAUCCGGAUGAGAAUAUUACUGAAUUGGCAGAUGACGACAUUGAUUGCACGAUUGGAGAUCCAAAUCAUGAUAUGGAAUACGAUAAUGACGAUGAAGAUAUAGAAGUGGAAGCAGAAGAAGAGUUUUUGCCGCCUAUUAUUUCUCAGACAAAGGGCCCCAAAAAACAAUCUAUAUUCAAGAGUGUACUCGAGAAAAUCAUUCCUUCUAAGCGUCAUCGAAAAUGUGCAAUUUGCGGCUUUGAAACUGACCACGAUAAGCGAAAUCACUAUCGAGUGCUAGGGAUUCCUGAGCCAAAAAAAUAGGCAUCGGAUGUAUUAUUUAUGCUAUAUUUUUUUUAUUUUAUGAAAAUGAACAUGUACUCUGUACUAUUCAUGUUAAUGUCAUGUAGUAGUAGUAUUGGUAUAAUCUGUACUUCUAAUAUUGAUAAUCACAUUAUUAUUAAUAUUAUUAUUAUUAUUAUAUUUUGUAAAAUUAAUACAUGAAUAUCAUACUCUCAUACUCAAAUAAUAAUAAUAAUAAUUUAUAUAAUAAUAAUAAUAUUAAUAGUAAUAAUAACAAUAACAACAACAACAACAACAACAAUAAUAAUAAUAAUAAUAAUAAUAAUAAUAAUAAUUAAUAAUAAUAAUAAUUAUUAUUAUAAUACUUAACUACUUUUAUAAAUUAAAAUAAGUAAAAUAAUUUCCUGAAAUGUCCUGAAAAGUUAUGAUCAUUACUUAUUAAACUAAUUGAACUUGAUAUAUUUUCAAACUCAGAACUUAGGAGAAAAUUGAUUUCAUAAUAUUCAAUGGACAUAGUUCAUAAAGGAACAUGACUUCAUAAAAGAAUAUGGCUUAAUUAUUAAUAUUAAUAUAAAAAUAAAUAUUAAGAUUAAUAAAAUAAAUUAUUAUAAUCUUCCAUCAUUUAAAUUCCACUCUACCAAUUUACUACCACUUUCAUAAAUAGAUAUGUCAUUCAUUUCUUAUCAUCGAAACACCAACAUUUUUAAUAAUUUAUAAAAUAAUAUUAAUAAUAAGAAUAAUAAGAAUUGCUGAAUAAUAAUAUUAAACUUAAUAUAAUAAUUAUAUAUAUACAUUUUGGGGGAAAUGUAAUGUUAUUUUAAUAAGACUAAUAAUAAUAAUAAUAAUGCAAGAUGGAAUAUAAUGAUAAUAAUAUAUUUUAUUAAAGACUAAUAUUUAUUUUUAUAUUAACAUUAUUAUUUAUUUUUAUAUUAAUAAUAAUAUUAAAUUAAAAAUUAGAAAAAAUAUUAAAAGGGAUAAUAAUAAUAAUAAUAAUAACAAUUAACUUUUUUCUAUUUUAAUAAACCCACUUUAUUAUUAAUAUUAAUAUAAAAAUAAAUCGUAAUACAAGAGAAAAUGUCUUUUUGGGGGAAAUGUAAAAGUUUUAAUAUAAAGACUAAUCCUUGCGAGAAAUGAACAGCUAGGCCCGUGGUGCUCGGGUAGUCAUAUGACGAGGGUUUGAAGCGGGAGGUUGCGAGUUCGAAUCUGUUUCGGAGCGAAUAGUUUGAAACAAUUAUUUUAAAGGCCAAGGGAAUUUUUUUCAAUUUUUUAUUCCAAGUCGUGACAAGCUGUACCGGCCGACCAUUUUAAAUUUUGAUUUAUUCUCAGCUGCAACAACCUGUACCGGCUGGCCUAUUUUUUAUUUUUAUUUAUGUGAGUUUAAUGUGUUGAGUCAUGACAUAUAAUGGAGAAAUGCGUAAAAAAAUAAUUAAAAAAAAGGCACAGCCGGUUUAAGUUGUACUGGUUGGGACCUUUUUAAUAUUAAAAAUUCAUUUUGUUUAACUAUACUGACAACAUGUUGAGUAUGUGAGGCCUUUAUAUUAAAAUAAAAGCCGGUACAUGUUGUUAUUUAGACACAACAAGCUGUGCCGGCUUGGUAGAAUUAUGUUUCAAUCUCAGCUUUCCAAUAAGUUGAUCUAUGGUCCAAAAAGGGGUUGUUGGCAUAGUGUCCAUGGCAACAGGUUUCCAUGGAUGGAAUCCCUAUAUAUAUAUAUAUAUAUAUAUAUAUAUAUAUAUAUAUAUAUAUAUAUAUAUUGUAACGCCCCAGAAAUUCGAGCAAAUUGUAAAUUAUUUUAUUUGAUUUAAUAAUGAAUAAAAUUAGAUUAUAUGUGAUAAUAAGAUGAAUGUCGUUCUAUAACCUAGAUACGUCGUAACGUCGUAGUAUUUUGGCUACAUGAAUGAAUUAAAGUGUUUGAAUUUCCAAGACGAAAAUAAAACCGUUCCGAGAAAUUUUUUGAAAAAUACUAUUCACACAUUUUUACUCGGGAAUUAUUUUUGAAUUUUCGAGAAACGCGUAAUGAUAGAAUUCUAAGACGAGAUGGAAUAUCCAAUAAUAUUUUAGUUAUGUCAAACACAGUUUUUCGUCUGUGGACUUAAAACUUAUCGGUUAGGGAAAUCGAUUUCCAAGAAGGAAUUGAAAUGCGUAUAGUGAAUUAAAGUAAUGAUCAUAUAAUACGUAGGUAUUAUACGAGGUAAUGAAUACGAGUAUAAUAUGAGAUAUUAUACGAGUAUGUAUGAAUGAUGGUAUGUCGUAUAUUAAUAAGUAUACAAGUUAGAAUACGAGAAUAAAAGCCCAUGUAUAAGUUAAGCUAAAAGCCCAAAGUAAGAACCAUGGGUUAGUGGAUGAUUAAAACCCAUGGGGCAACCCAUGGGUGAUCCAAAGUGAUAAGCAAGUAAAUUUAAUGGCUAAGUAAAGGAUAAGUUAAGUGGUGAGCAAGCAAAUAAUGUGAUGAGCAAGUAAAGUGCUUAUGUGUGAUAAGAAAGUAAAGUGCUUAUAUGUGAUGAGCAAGUAAGGGAUAAGUUGAGUAAUGGCCAAGUAUAUGCGGUGAUCAAGUAAACUUGAUGGUUCAGCUAUGAAUAGUAAGGAGGUGGAUGGCUUAUUGACCAUUAAGCCCUCAAUUAGGAUUUCCUAUAAAUAAGAGAUGCCUUAGUUCAUUUCUUAGUUGUUAGAUUUUUCACCAAUAACUUAUAGCUUAUUGGUUAGAGAUAAAAAGCUACAAAAGCUAGAACAAGUUAGUCUUUGUUAAUUCAAGAAGCAAGAAAAAGAUUAAAGCUUAAUCAAGUGAUUAUCAAGGGUAAGAACCUAAACCAUGAAUCUCUUUCUCUUCAACUGUUAGAGAAGUGAGUAAUGGUAGAACAUGUAUGCUAAGAAGAAGUAGGAAUGAAUAAUCUAAGAACUUAAGUCUUAAUAAGCCAUGAAUAAGUACUUUGUUCAUAGAUAAAUUAUGAACCAAGGAAGAACUUGUAAUAUGUCUACAUAAAUGAAAUUUGUAUGAUUUGAAGAUGAGAGGAUGAUGGUUAGAAGACUUAAAGUAUGAUAAGUCAUGUGAAGUAAAAUCAUAAGUAGUUUAUACUUUUAAUAAGUUAUAAACUCAUGAAGAACAAGUAAUAACUUAUUAUGUAAAUAAGUUAAUGAAAUAUGCAUGUUAAGAUGUUAGUAUGAUGGAAUAAAUCCAUUUGAAAUGAUGAACAAAUCAUAAGUAACGAAGUUAUGCCGGAAUUCACACGAUUAGACGAUAAUCGUCGAAUUCGUGAAAUUCUCGGAAUGGAAGUCAAAUUUUGACAUUAAGUUCAGAAAUGAUGGUUUUCGAUGGAGUAUAGUCUCAUUUGGCAUUAUAGAGUUGCGGACUUGAAAAUGACAAAAUUCUGACUUAGAACGAAGAAACAAGCGUUGAACGUUCAUGAACGUUUAUCGUUUUCGUUAAAAUGAACUAAUAGGUGAAUUUUUAGUUAACAGAUUCGAAAAUGGAAAAUUCUUACAUUAACACGUAAUGUAUGUAAUUUGUGAGCUAAGGGCUUCUAAAUGAGCCAAUUCGGACUUAUAACGAAGAAGUUAUGAGCCCGAAAAGUUCAUUGAAAAAUUUAUCUGCAAAUUUUUCUAGGACUGAGGUCUGGCGCUGCAAAGCCAGACAUAGCUAUAUAGGUCGCGUAGCAGCGCUGGGGCGAAGCGAGUGGCCACUGCAGAGUCGCGCUGCAGCGCCACUCAAAGGUAUAACACUCGCGCCGUAGUGCCAUGAACAGUUUGGCCGGGUACUGGAUGUAAUAACCCGAUAUUUUGUAUAUAAUUAAAUUAAAAAAUUUGCGUAUAAAUUUUUUAUUUAUUUUAAAGGUGAGGAUAUGUACAAGAUAAAGCGUAUGUAUUUAUGUGAUAAAUAAAAAUAUAUUUAUUACAUGAAUAAUUACAAAUAAUUUUAUUUUAGAAUUAUUGUUCAUUAUAAAUUAUAUUCUUAUAAUAAUUAAUUUUAUAGUAGAAAUGUUUUUAUUAAUUAUUUACCAUAAAAAUAUGAUUUUAUAUUAUUUAGAAAUGAUUAUUAGAAAUGAUUAUUUUAUUUUAUUGUAUGAAUUUAUAUUAGAUUAAUUAAGUUAAUUAUUUGAACUUAAUUAAUAAUGUUAUAUAUGUAAGAUAAAUCAGAUAUGGAAUCCAAAUCCUAAUUUUGGAUUUUAAUCAAAGGAUGAGAAUAAUAAUAUAAUAUUAUUUUAUUUCAGUGCUAUAAAUAAGUAUUGUUUAUGUGUGGACUGAUAAUGGUUGGUCAAUUAUGGUGCAUCAUGACCAAACCCUAGCAUUAAUUUGUUUAACACUAUUUUUUAAACUCAAAUGGGAGAUUCACGACUGUGUAGUGAUUGUGUUAUAUGAAUAAUGACAUGUAUUGUAGAAUUUAGUCUUAAUUAGGAAAAACCCUAAUUAUUAUAAACCCUAAUUCAAAAGUCGAUAUAGAAUUAAUAUAUUGUUAUUAUUGUUUCAGCUUACUUUACAACUAUUGAUUCGUUGUAGAAGUGUUGUACAAAGAAAACAUUUAAUCCUUUCAACUACUAUUUAUUUUUGCUAUUACUUGCUGGGCACUCAAAUGCUUAUCCUUGCUUAAUUUAAAUAUUUUCAGCUAAAUGUGAACAACCAGAAGGUUCGGCCAAGAACAAGGGAAAAGGAA
rnacentral:lncRNA from 1 species